rnacentral:rRNA from 1 species
UAGUAACUGCGAGUGAAGAGGGAAAAGCUCAAAUUUAAAAUCUGGCAGCUUCGCUGUCCGAGUUGUAAUUUAGAGAAGUGUUACCCGCGUUGGACCGUGUACAAGUCUCCUGGAACGGAGCGUCAUAGAGGGUGAGAAUCCCGUCUUUGACACGGACUACCGAGGCUUUGUGGUACGCUCUCGAAGAGUCGAGUUGUUUGGGAAUGCAGCUCUAAAUGGGUGGUAAAUUCCAUCUAAAGCUAAAUAUUGGCGAGAGACCGAUAGCAAACAAGUACCGUGAGGGAAAGAUGAAAAGAACUUUGGAAAGAGAGUUAAACAGUACGUGAAAUUGUUGAAAGGGAAACGCUUAAAGUCCAGUCGCGUUGGUUAGGAAUCAGCCUUGGUUUUCCUUGGUGUACUUCCUGAUCGACGGGUCAACAUCAGUUUUGACCGUUGGAUAAAGGUCGAGGGAAUGUGGCACCUUCGGGUGUGUUAUAGCCCUUGAUUGUAUACAGCGGUUGGGACUGAGGAACUCAGCACGCCGAAAGGCCGGGUCUUGUACCACGUUCGUGCUUAGGAU